rnacentral:rRNA from 1 species
GGAAUAUUGCACAAUGGGGGAAACCCUGAUGCAGCAACGCCGCGUGAGUGAAGAAGUAUUUCGGUAUGUAAAGCUCUAUCAGCAGGGAAGAAGAUGACGGUACCUGAUUAAGAAGCCCCGGCUAACUACGUGCCAGCAGCCGCGGUAAUACGUAGGGGGCAAGCGUUAUCCGGAUUUACUGGGUGUAAAGGGAGCGCAGACGGCAGUGCAAGUCUGGAGUGAAAGCCCGGGGCCCAACCCCGGAACUGCUCUGGAAACUGGGCGGGUAGAGUACUGGAGGGGCAGGCGGAAUUCCUAGUGUAGCGGUGAAAUGCGUAGAUAUUAGGAGGAACACCAGUGGCGAAGGCGGCCUGCUGGACAGUAACUGACGUUGAGGCUCGAAAGCGUGGGGAGCAAACA